rnacentral:tRNA from 1 species
GGGCCGUUAACUCAGCCAGGUUAGAGUAUCUGCCUUUUAAGCAGAGAGUCGUUGGUUCAAAUCCAACACGGCCCACCA